rnacentral:rRNA from 1 species
AUGAACGCUGGCGGCGUGCCUCAUACAUGCAAGUCGCGCGAACGGACGAGAGGCUUGCUUCUCUGAUGUUAGCGGCGGACGGGUGAGUAACACGUGGAUAACCUACCUAUAAGACUGGGAUAACUUCGGGAAACCGGAGCUAAUACCGGAUAAUAUUUUGAACCGCAUGGUUCAAAAGUGAAAGACGGUCUUGCUGUCACUUAUAGAUGGAUCCGCGCUGCAUUAGCUAGUUGGUAAGGUAACGGCUUACCAAGGCAACGAUGCAUAGCCGACCUGAGAGGGUGAUCGGCCACACUGGAACUGAGACACGGUCCAGACUCCUACGGGAGGCAGCAGUAGGGAAUCUUCCGCAAUGGGCGAAAGCCUGACGGAGCAACGCCGCGUGAGUGAUGAAGGUCUUCGGAUCGUAAAACUCUGUUAUUAGGGAAGAACAUAUGUGUAAGUAACUGUGCACAUCUUGACGGUACCUAAUCAGAAAGCCACGGCUAACUACGUG